AUAUAUGGGCGAUAAUAGGAGAAUAAAGAGGAUAACUAUGGUUUCUCUACUUCAAAGGGGUAUGUCUAUAUCUGGGAUGGACCACUUGAUAAUAAUACACCACAAAGGAUGCUUAUCCAUAGGCAUAUAAACUCUACUAGUCCUGCUAACGGGAGGUGGACUACAGAGGACCAACGUAGCUAUCACAUACGCGGCCUACCACACGAUCCAACUAGACAGG
rnacentral:lncRNA from 1 species